rnacentral:piRNA from 1 species
UAUCCGUGGCGUGGUGGACUCUGAGGAC